rnacentral:rRNA from 1 species
GAUGAACGCUGGCGGCGUGCCUAAUACAUGCAAGUCGAACGAAACUUCUUUAUCACCGAGUGCUUGCACUCACCGAUAAAGAGUUGAGUGGCGAACGGGUGAGUAACACGUGGGCAACCUGCCCAAAAGAGGGGGAUAACACUGGGAAACAGGUGCUAAUACCGCAUAACCAUAGUUACCGCAUGGUAACUAUGUAAAAGGUGGCUAUACUACCGCUUCUGGAUGGGCCCGCGGCGCAUUAGCUAGUUGGUAGGGUAAAGGCUUACCAAGGCAAUGAUGCGUAGCCGAAUUGAGAGGUUGAUCGGCCACAUUGGGACUGAGACACGGCCCAAACUCCUACGGGAGGCAGCAGUAGGGAAUCUUCCGCAAUGGGCGAAAGCCUGAUGGAGCAACGCCGCGUGGGUGAAGAAGGUCUUCGGAUCGUAAAACCCUGUUGUUAGAGAAGAAAGUGCGUGAGAGUAACUGUUCACGUUUCGACGGUAUCUAACCAGAAAGCCACGGCUAACUACGUG